rnacentral:tRNA from 1 species
UCACUGGUGGUCUAGUGGUUAGGAUUCAGCAUUUUCAAUGCCUUGGCCCAGAUUCAAUCCCUGGUUGGGGAA